GAUGAACGCUGGCGGCGUGCCUAAUACAUGCAAGUCGAGCGAACAGACGAGGAGCUUGCUCCUCUGACGUUAGCGGCGGACGGGUGAGUAACACGUGGAUAACCUACCUAUAAGACUGGGAUAACUUCGGGAAACCGGAGCUAAUACCGGAUAAUAUAUUGAACCGCAUGGUUCAAUAGUGAAAGACGGUUUUGCUGUCACUUAUAGAUGGAUCCGCGCCGGAUUAGCUAGUUGGUAAGGUAACGGCUUACCAAGGCAACGAUGCGUAGCCGACCUGAGAGGGUGAUCAGCCACACUGGAACUGAGACACGGUCCAGACUCCUACGGGAGGCAGCAGUAGGGAAUCUUCCACAAUGGGCGAAAGCCUGACGGAGCAACGCCGCGUGAGUGAUGAAGGUCUUCGGAUCGUAAAACUCUGUUAUUAGGGAAGAACAAAUGUGUAAGUAACUAUGCACGUCUUGACGGUACCUAAUCAGAAAGCCACGGCUAACUACGUG
rnacentral:rRNA from 1 species